rnacentral:lncRNA from 1 species
AUGAUAUCACCCUCUUUCUUCUUCCUUCCUUCCUUCCUUCCUUCCUUUCCCUUCCUUCCUUCCUUCCUUCCUUCCUUCCUUCCUUCUUUCUUUCUUUCUUUCUUUCUUUCUUUCUUUCUUUCUUUCUUUCUUUCUUUCUUUCUUUCUUUCUUUCUUUCUUUCUUUCUUUCUUUCUUUCUUUCUUUCUUUCUUUCUUUCCUUCUUUCUUUCUUUCUUUCUUUCCUUCUUUCUUUCUUUCUUUCUUUCUUUCUUUCUUUCUUUCUUUCUUUCUUUCUUUCUUUCUUUCUUUCUUUCUUUCUUUCUUUCUUUCUUUCUUUCUUUCUUUCUUUCUUUCUUUCUUUCUUUCUUUCUUUCUCUCUCUCUCUCUCUCUCUCUCUCUCUCUCUCUCUCUCUCUCUCUCUUAACCCCUUACCUUCCAUCUUAGAAUCAAUACUGUGUAUUGGUUGCAAGAUAGAAGAAUGAUAAGGCUGGUCAACGGGAGUAAGUGAUUUGUUUAGGGUCACACAACUAGGAAGUGUCUGAAGUCCAAUUUGAACACUGGACCUCCCAUCUCUAGGCUUGACUCUCAAAUCACUGAGCUUACUAGCUGUCCCCUACCUUAGAAUUCUAAAUCGUGUCUCCAUUUUGACUUUAUCUUAGUAUAUGGUAUGACUUGUUUGUCUAUACCUAGUUUCUACCAUUCUGUUUUCCAGUUUUCUCAGUAGUGUUUGUCAAAUAGCAAUUUAUUCUCCCCAAAGCUUGGAUCUUUGGGUUUGUUAAACAGUAGCUUACUAGGGUCAUUUACCUGUGUUGAGUGUCUUAUCUAUUCUAAUGAUUCACUAUUCAUUUUCUUAGCCAAUAACAGAUUGUUUUGAUGAUUUACCACUUUGUCAUUCAGUUUGAGAUCCAGUAUAGUUAAGCCACCUUCCUUCAUUUUUUUCACUAUUUCCCUUGACAUACUAGGCCAUUUGUUCUUCCAGAUGAAAUAUAUUGUUAUUUGAAUAGUUUGGUUGAUAUUACACUGAAUAGGCAAAUUAAUUUAGAUAGAAUUGCCAUUUUUAUUAUAUUGGUUUGGCCUACCCAUG